ACGGUCGCGUAACACGUAAGCAACCUACCUUAAAGUUGGGGAUAGCCCGCCGAAAGGCGGAUUAAUACCGAAUGUGGACACUUAUUCGCAUGUAUAAGUGUUUGAAGCAGCAAUGCGCUUUAAGAUGGGCUUGCGGCCUAUCAGCUAGUUGGCGGGGUAACGGCUCACCAAGGCGACGACGGGUAGCUGGUCUGAGAGGAUGGUCAGCCGGACUGGGACUGAGAUACGGCCCAGACUCCUACGGGGGGCAGCAAUUAGGAAUCUUGCGCAAUGGGCGAAAGCCUGACGCAGCGACGCCGCGUGACUGAUGAAGUCCUUCGGGAUGUAAAGGUCUUUUGCAGGGGAAGAAGGAUGUGACGGUACCCUGCGAAUAAGCUCCGGCUAACUACGUGCCAGCAGCCGCGGUAAUACGUAGGGAGCGAGCGUUGUCCGAAUUCACUGGGCGUAAAGCGCGCGUAGGCGGGUUUUUAAGUUGGGGGUGAAAUCCCGGAGCUUAACUCCGGAACUGCCUCCAAAACUGGGAGCCUUGAGGUAUGGAGAGGGAAGUGGAAUUCCAGGU
rnacentral:rRNA from 1 species